rnacentral:lncRNA from 1 species
UAAUUGCUCUUCUGUUUCUUGUCUCUGCUCUGCUUCUGGUCAUAGCUGUUGGCAAGGUUCUUGUCUUCCAUUUUCCUUUUUGUUGCAUUUUUAGUGAUUCUGUAGUUUGUAUUAUAGAUUGCUUCUCCAACAGCUCUUAAUUCAUAGCCAGAUGAAGCAUUCCAGUUCCCUUGGCAGUCUAAUUCCUUCGCGCUUGUGUUGCAACUCAUUCAUAAAAUGCUUUAGAUACAUUACAGACAUGUUUGGCCCACAUGCUUAGCUGGCAUGUCAAAUGAAGUACCAAGGAGAUAAAAAUUAAAUAUUUGGUACGUCCUAGGAAAUGUUGACCUGUGUGAAUAGGAAACUGACACCAAGUAAGCGUUCAGCAGAAUGAAUGAGAAGAUAUCAAUGUUAAUCCUGAAAAGACUUUUCUAGCAAGUAGAUCGGAAUUUGUGAAGUUAACACGUAUUUUCAUGUGUUUUCCUUCACUUGUUUGUUUUUUGUGAGUACAUUAGACUCUUUUUGUUCUUUUGCAGUUAAUAUUUGGGAUGUUCUGAAGACUUUGUGAACAGUCCUUCCAAUGGUGUGCUGGGCAACUGACAGCAGCAGCACAGUUGGACGUGAGGGUUUUUGAAGGCUAUGUGCCUAUGUCUGUUUGAAAAUUUCCUUCGGGUUGUGCUCUCCCAUAAACUGAAUCAGUGUAUAAAUCUGCAUGCUACGCAAUGGAUGGAUGUAACGGAGGAACUGGGAUCAAAUCCAGGAUAAUGGUGGAAGUUGACAAAAUUGCAGCCAAGCAGCCUCUCCUUUUCCUUCUUCUGCACUUGAUCAUAGCUUGGCUCCAUAUGACCAACCCUAGGCUAAAGAUUUAGACUUCAGGUACCCUAGAAUCUAUUUUGGUUGUGUACAUCCAAAGAACUUGUUUGCAAGGGCCAGAUUUGUCAUCUCAGCGUGUUCUACCUUCAGAAUUAAGUUUUCUGUUGGUUGCAAGGUAGUAGUGAUAUCGAUUAUGCAGAAAAUUCUUUUACACUUCUCUACUCCUAUCAAAAGAAUGAGUAAUUUUUAGCAAGGAGUUCUUUCAAUCUAGAAUAUUACGUAGGUCCCUGAAAAUCUGUACGAUUUUUAUAGUAUUGCAUUUCUAAGGGAAAAUCUGUCUAAUUUGUAUUAUUUCAGAACCUGCCAUCUUUUCAGCCAGAGGCUAUCAGCUCUUGUGUGAAUGCUUUGGGAAUACACGUAGAGUUGUUACUUUAUGCAGAUCAUCCUAUGGCCUGCCUUUCUGGGUAAUGCCUUUGUGACUAAUGACUCUUAACUUAUGUAACAUCUGGUCAAUACAAUCAGAUUAAUCUCGUUAAUUAAUUCCUAGAUGGUUUGAUCACUGUCAGUAUCGAAAUGGUUCUGCAAUACUAGAGAAGAAAUCUCACCCUAAGUAAUCACAUUGUUCAUACUUCAUAUCUCAACAAAGGUGAUAUUUGCAAGGACACUCGUUAACUGUCGUGAAGGAAUCGUACCGGUCUGUGGAAUCUCGGAAAAGUUACUGCCAAAUUAUUGAAAUAACUGCAAAUUUGAGAGGAGAUAAAUUGUCAGUUGCCAUUGAAUAUAUUUCUGUAAAUCAGAUAAUAUUUCUUUCAGUUCAUCUUAAUAAAAGUAUUUAAUGAAAGUAUGAAUCUAUACCU